rnacentral:rRNA from 1 species
UACGUAGGGGGCGAGCGUUGUCCGGAUUUAUUGGGCGUAAAGAGCGUGUAGGCGGCUUUGCAGGUCCGCUGUGAAAGUCCAGGGCUCAACCCUGGAAUGCCGGUGGAUACUGUCGGGCUAGAGUCCGGAAGGGGCGAGUGGAAUUCCUGGUGUAGCGGUGAAAUGCGCAGAUAUCAGGAGGAACACCAAUGGCGAAGGCAGCUCGCUGGGACGUGACUGACGCUGAGACGCGAAAGCGUGGGGAGCAAACAGG